rnacentral:rRNA from 1 species
AGGACGAACGCUGGCGGCGUGCCUAACACAUGCAAGUGGAGCGACGAACCGGGGCUUGCCCCGGGGCAGAGCCGCGAACGGGUGAGUAACACGUGGGUUACCUGCCCCGAUGACUGGGACAACCCGUCGAAAGACGGGCUAAUACCGGAUGUGCCCCGUUGGGGGAAAGGAGCUUCGGCCUCCGCAUCGGGAUCGGGCCCGCGGCGCAUUAGCUUUGGUUGGUGGGUAAUGGCUUACCGAAGGCGACGAUGCGUAGCUGGUCUGAGAGGACGAUCAGCCACACUGGACUGAGACACGGCCCAGACUCCGUACGGGAGGCAGCGAGGUGGGGAAUC